rnacentral:misc_RNA from 1 species
CUGUUUGUUGACUGCAUUCUGGGCUCAUCAGAGAGUCACAGACACACUGCAUGCGGUGCUGUGUUUUUUCUUUUUGUUUACGCUUGCUUUCACGCGUGCUCAGAGCUGAUUUUUGUCGCUUUCUUUUCCGUAGACGAUUCUUAAUAUGUUGCGGCGAGCGUCUGUUCUCCUCUCCCUCCGACCUUCCGAGGCCUACCGGAAGCUUGUCUUGCGGGGCGACAUCUCAACCGAUGAAAAUCAAAUUAGUGCUCUGCCUGUGUUUGACCGUCUUUACGAUGAUUUGGUGAAGUACACAAAGGAGAGUAAGCGCAUCGGCGUUCCGAAGCGGCAAGUGGAGCUUCGCCCUCCCAAUCGUCUAGGAAUUAUCCCGUCUCUUUUUCUUCGUCGUGAGCAGGAGAAAAAGGUGGAGCAGGCCCUUAGCGAUGACAACAAGGCGGUAUACCAUCCCCUGUCGCACGUGAAGGGGCUGUACGUCUGGGGUGGGGUGGGAUGCGGCAAAACCAUGCUCAUGGACCUGCUGUACGAUAAUGCGCCCCCCGAGAUCCGCAAGCGGCGCCUUCACUUUCACCAGUUCAUGCUGGAUAUGCAGAAGACGUCGAACUCGAUCCGCUACAAGUCGAAGGAGGAGAUGCAAGAUCCUGCAAACCGGACAAACAUGGUGCGCUACAACAUCAGUGACAAUCGCCGCCGAACCCCGGAUGCCGAGAUCAAUCUGUUCGACGAGGUGGCGCAGCGGAUGAUCAGCGAUGUUGAGCUUCUUUGCUUCGACGAGGUGGCCGUCUCUGAUGUGGCACACGCCAUGAUUCUCAAGCGUCUCUUCCAUUCAUUCUACAAGAUCGGCCUUGUGGUCAUCUUCACUUCAAACCGCCCCCUUGAAGACUUGUACAAGGAUGGCCUGAACCGUGGCGGGUUCAUUCCUUUCAUUGAUCUGGUGAAGAAGCAGUGUGUUAUUCAUCACAUGAAGAGCAACGUCGACCAUCGGUUGCUCGGCCACCAGGCGGACACCUACCUCACCCCGAUGAACAGUGAGAACAACUCCAAGUUCGAAAAGCUGUUCCUCGAGAUGUGCAAGGCGAUGCCUGCGACGGAGCGGAAGCUUGAGGUGUUUGGGCGCGACGUCAUUGUGCCGCGGGCAUGUGGAGGUGUGUGCUACUUCCACUUCUAUGAGCUCUGCGGCGGUGAAAAGUCUGCGGCAGACUACGAGGUGAUUGCCAAGACGUUUCACACGAUCUUCAUUAAUGGUGUGCCCCAGUUUCCGUACGAGAACAGCGAUGUGAAGAGCCGGUUUCUGUUGCUCAUCGAUACGCUGUACGGGCAUAGGUGCAAGGUAAUGAUUCACGCUGCGGUUGAGCCGCCGCAGCUGCAAGCUCCGAAAGAAGAGGCCGCAGGCAGAAUAGAAGGCGAUGCUCAACGGUUCGAUCAGCUUUCCGAGUUCGAGCGCGAAAGUGGUAAUAAGCUAGUGGAUGCGGAUGAUAGCGCGUUCCAAAUGGACCGGUGUGUGUCGCGUCUGUACGAGAUGCGCACAAAGGAGUACCUUGAGAUCCCUCAUGAGCCACAGGAAGUGGAUUUAUCUACGCGAUGAGAUGCAGCUCCGUUGGUUCUGGCCUCGCCCUUAUUUUCGUUUUGUGUACUUGAAGAACGAACUCUUCCAGCGAAACGGCGCAUACGCUUGCUGUGGGGACAUUCAUCGACGCGUGUUCUAUAUACACACAUCCACACCCAAUAGGGCAUGCGUGACCGUUGGACAUGGAGCAUCAGCAAAACAACAACAACCAGGCCCAAGACAAGAAAAAAAGAGAAAGGAGGCGUGGUGCCAACCGACAAGUCCAUGAAGGGGCAGCGGACGGGCAAAAUCAAAAGGGAACGAGAAACAAAAACAAAAACAAACGAGAGGGCAAACAGUACCACCACCCCUACUCCUACC